UCCCCCUUAGCUCAGUGGUAGAGCGCGUCACUAGUACAUAUGCUUACGACAUGACGAGGUCAGUCGUUCAAGUCGGCUAGGGGGAA